AUAGAGUGUUGAUACGGAAGGUUGCCGAAGCCGAUGAAUCAAGGGCUUACGGGUUUUUCCGAGGAGCGAUGUCCAGUUCAAAGAAACCGGGCGACAA
rfam:Firmicutes bacterium CAG:102 genomic scaffold, scf128